GCAACGCAAAUAAAGUCUCAGACUACAGGUCCGUCGACAGCAGGUUAAUGUUUUCCGUGCCCUCCGCUCCGAGGCCGCCUCCAUCCCCGAUCCUCGCAGGUGACCUCAGGUAGCGGGGGUCUCCCACCCUCCGGGUUCCCGGCUCCUCUACGCUCCAAAGCUGCGCACGGGUUAACAACAUCCCGCCCCCGAGACACCACUCGGGCAUUUAGGAAUCGGAAAGCAGAAUCUGAAUUCACCUCGAAGAAACAAAGACCGCAAACUCUCAGAGUUGAGGACCGAGCGGGGGACCCCCGCCAAAGCCCCGGCACAGCGAGAGGUCCGGCCCGCGCCUCGCCGUGGGCGCGAAGUUCGGGGGCCCCAGGCGGAUCCCGUCGAGAGGCUCAGACUCCAGGCGUGUUUCCCGCUGCUCAGCGGACAGUGCCCGCGGCCCUGGGGCCCAGGAGCCGCGAGGGCCAGCGCGCUGGUGCGCGCGGGGAUCAGGAGCAGGACCGCCGGAGGGACAGGCGCCACCCCAGAACGGCCUGCUGGGCAUGCGGUGUGGUGUAAACUGGAAACUCAGAGACGUGAAUAAGUACCAGAGAAUUCAGGGGAACAACUGUGCUUCGUUUAGCAUUAUUUGAACAGUUUUCUACUUUUUCAUCGGCAGUUUUGGCUUUUGUUUUAUGACAGGAGCAAGCUUUCACAAAUUGUUAGAUCCAGUGUACAGAUCUCUCUGCAUUCCUAUUAAUCUCCAAGACAGCUGAGGGCACACUUUACAGCUUCUUAUUACUCUUUCUUAUUCUUUUAAUAUAUAAAUUGCAUUUUAGAGCCGUAUUCAGCUUUCUUUUUUCCCAGAUAGGGUAAAGAGGUGAAUGGAGAGCUAAGAAUUACAUGAUUCAAUGGGUGUGGAGUAAAGUGGUCAAGAUUUUGAAGUAGAGUGUGUUUUGGUUUUGGUUUUGCCCCACAAUAAGUUAGAUUUUAUCAAAUGUCACUUGAAGAUAGACUCAAACAUCGGUUUAAAAGAAUCCCAUGUGCAUAUCAUGUUUCAGAUUUUGAGACAAUGACAUACUUCAAAUUAUAUGAUUCCAGAGAACUUGCCACAAAUCUAUGAACAAAUAAAUUUUUCAAAGGUAAUUAAAAGAACUGAUUUCUGUGUGGCUUCCCUAAAUUCAGGGGACAUUUCCUUAUAUUUGAAAUAUUCAAAAAUUUAAUCCCCCAGGUAAAGGUAAAAGUAUUCAUUUUUGAUGUCAAUUACCAUUGUAUGGCCUCCUCCUUAAAGAAAAUGGAUUGUGAAUCAAAUAUUUUUAUUCUUCAAAACAUAAUAAUCCUACAGAACUUUCUAAACAGUGAUUUACACUGGCAUAGGGAAAUGGAUAUAAAAUACAGUAGAUUAUAAAAUCUAGUAGAUACAAAUCAGCACGUUGCCAGGAGUCCUUUGUUUUCACUGUGAUCCAUACAAAGUAAUCCACACAAAGCAAUCACACAGUAAGGGAGAAAAGCUAAAGUUCCUCCCUAGUAACAAAGUCAACAAGUGAUCAGUGUAUCUCUUAAUUAAAGCCAUAUUCACAGAGCUGAAAAAUUUCUCAGAGAAAAGGAAGUUUUGUGACAAUGAACUCCAAGUGGAAUUACAUCAUUCUUGCUUCAGAGACAAAUACCUGGCUAUCACCACUUUUCAACGUGUUUUUUUUUCUAUUUUUUUGAAAAACAAAUAUCUGGGAAUCAUCACAUUUCCAAGAUAAAUUUGUCCUCCUGCUGUGAACACACACACACACACACACACACUACCUCCCAAAUAUUUCAAGACAAGAAGGUUGAUGAGCCACAUUCAACUGAUAACACAUUAGUUAUUUUGCCUUUAUAAUGAAAGCUCCAAUUUAAUAGCUUGAUUUUUCAGAAUACUAGAGGUCGUAAAUAUAUCCACAAACUAUUAGAGGGCUUUUUCUCUUUAAUUUUAAGGGUACACUUUAAGGGUAAUCACUUUGAUUAAUCAUACUCACCUCUAGAUAGAAAUAGAUCGUAUCUCCAUUUCCCUUUAUGGUUCCAAUUUCUUUUAAGUUUACACUGUAAAAGUUGUUGAGUGCCCAGCAAUGUCUAGCUGAUGUUUUGCCUUUAUAAAAGGUUUCAUGUAAAUUCAUGUGAACACAUUUUUAAAUAAAGAAAGCUUUUUGUUAGA